rnacentral:rRNA from 1 species
ACAAAGGGCAGCAAGUUCGCGAGGACAAGCAAAUCCCAUAAACCGUAGCUCAGUUCAGAUCGUAGGCUGCAACUCGCCUACGUGAAGGAGGAAUCGCUAGUAAUCGCAGGUCAGCAUACUGCGGUGAAUACGUUCCCGGGCCUUGUACACACCGCCCGUCACACCAUGGAAGUUGGCCAUGCCCGAAGCCGUUACUCCAACCCUUGUGGAGGAGGACGUCGAAGGUGGGGCUGAUGACUGGGGUGAAGUCGUAACAAGGUAGCCGUACCGGAAGGUGCGGCUGGAUCACCUCCUAAC